UGGGGAAUAUUGGGCAAUGGGCGCAAGCCUGACCCAGCAACGCCGCGUGAGGGAAGAAGGCUUUCGGGUUGUAAACCUCUGUCCUUGGUGACGAAACAAAUGACGGUAGCCAAGGAGGAAGCCCCGGCUAACUACGUGCCAGCAGCCGCGGUAAUACGUAGGGGGCGAGCGUUGUCCGGAAUUACUGGGCGUAAAGGGUGCGUAGGUGGCCUUUUAAGUUGGAUGUGAAAUACCCGGGCUUAACUUGGGGGGUGCAUCUAAUACUGGAGGGCUAGAGUGCAGGAGAGGAAAGCGGAAUUCCUAGUGUAGCGGUGAAAUGCGUAGAUAUUAGGAGGAACACCAGUGGCGAAGGCGGCUUUCUGGACUGUAACUGACACUGAGGCACGAAAGCGUGGGGAGCAAACAGG
rnacentral:rRNA from 1 species